UACAGAGGGUGCUAGCGUUGUUCGGAAUCAUUGGGCGUAAAGAGCUCGUAGGCGGCUCAGUAAGUCGGGUGUGAAACCCUCAGGCUCAACCUGGGGACGCCACCCGAUACUGCUGUGGCUAGAGUCCAGUAGGGGAGUGUGGAAUUCCCGGUGUAGCGGUGAAAUGCGCAGAUAUCGGGAGGAACACCAGCGGCGAAGGCGGCACUCUGGGCUGGUACUGACGCUGAGGAGCGAAAGCGUGGGUAGCAAACAGG
rnacentral:rRNA from 1 species